CCCUUAGAUGUUCUGGGCCGCACGCGCGCUACACUGAUGCACUCAACGAGUCUCCACCUUGACCGAAAGGUCCGGGAAACCUUCGAACUUGCAUCGUGAUGGGGAUAGAUUAUUGCAACUAUUAAUCUUCAACGAGGAAUGCCUAGUAAGCGCAAGUCAUCAGCUUGCGUUGAUUACGUCCCUGCCCUUUGUACACACCGCCCGUCGCUCCUACCGAUUGAAUGGUCCGGUGAAGCGUUCGGACCGUGGCCUUUGGACGGUUCGCCGUCUGUUGGCUGCGGGAAGUUCGUUAAACCUUAUCAUUUAGAGGAAGGAGAAGUCGUAACA
rnacentral:rRNA from 1 species